AGGAAGGGAAAAUGAUGUUCGAACAGGAACUCUACCACAACUUCUUCAUCAGCAACUCCAGACCCUACUUCAUUACAUUUGCAGGAGAUACAUGUCAGAUUGGUUUGAACUUCGCCAGCGAAGAAGAAGCCAAACGAUUCAGAGCCACCAUUGAUGACUUGCUCAACCGACGACAGCGGAAAAUAGAGAAAAGAGGCGACCCUAAAAAUGGUAUGUUAAACUCUUAAUAAGUUUUGCUUACGUAGGCUCUUAACUUUAGUUAAUUUUGUAAAAAGUAUUUUUCUCAUUCAGGCUUUAAAAAAUUCAAUAACAAGUACAUAGAAAUGAAUAAAAUGAGGAUGUCAUCCAUCCUCUGAAGUAAAAAAAACAAAGAAAUACAGCAAGAUGCAACAUGUGGAGAAAUGGCAAAGUAAACGUUUCAGUUAUCCAAGGAUUCAAUAGAGGAUAGAAAUAUGCUAAAACUGUAGCAUACGA